UGCCCCUUCCCAGAGGCCCUACAGGUCCUCCGAGGGGAUCAGCAUCCGUUUCUCCACAUUCCGGCUCCUCCUGCCGCCACCACCCAGGCUGCAGCGUGAGCCAGUGCCGGCCGUGUGCUCGCUCUGUGAGGCGUGACUGGACUCACCCUGACUGUGCACCUGACUGCUGAGGAGGGAGCCGUACUUCAUGUGUGUCCUUCAGCCACACAGAAGCUACCCAGAUGUGUGCCGGGCCAGGGGAAGUCUCAGCCACGGCUGCCUCAGGCUGGCCACCUCGUUCCCAGCAUCCCUGCUGGGUAUGACCCCCUCGCAAGCUCCCUGCCUGUGGCCUGGGAAAGCAGAGGACAGCC